rnacentral:rRNA from 1 species
UACGAAGGGGGCUAGCGUUGCUCGGAAUCACUGGGCGUAAAGGGUGCGUAGGCGGGUCUUUAAGUCAGGGGUGAAAUCCUGGAGCUCAACUCCAGAACUGCCUUUGAUACUGAAGAUCUUGAGUUCGGGAGAGGUGAGUGGAACUGCGAGUGUAGAGGUGAAAUUCGUAGAUAUUCGCAAGAACACCAGUGGCGAAGGCGGCUCACUGGCCCGAUACUGACGCUGAGGCGCGAAAGCUAGGGGAGCAAACAGG